rnacentral:rRNA from 1 species
UGGGGAAUAUUGGACAAUGGGGGCAACCCUGAUCCAGCAAUGCCGCGUGUGUGAAGAAGGUUUUCGGAUUGUAAAGCACUUUCGACGGGGACGAUGAUGACGGUACCCGUAGAAGAAGCCCCGGCUAACUUCGUGCCAGCAGCCGCGGUAAUACGAAGGGGGCUAGCGUUGCUCGGAAUGACUGGGCGUAAAGGGCGUGUAGGCGGUUUGUACAGUCAGAUGUGAAAUCCCCGGGCUUAACCUGGGAGCUGCAUUUGAUACGUGCAGACUAGAGUGUGAGAGAGGGUUGUGGAAUUCCCAGUGUAGAGGUGAAAUUCGUAGAUAUUGGGAAGAACACCGGUGGCGAAGGCGGCAACCUGGCUCAUAACUGACGCUGAGGCGCGAAAGCGUGGGGAGCAAAACAGGAUU